GGCAGGUAGACAGUCACAGCGCUAUGUAUUGCUCAAGCUGCGGAAAAGAGUUGGUUGAGCUGUCACCGAACUUUUGCAGCAGCUGUGGCAAGAGGAUUCAAGAAAUAUGUGUUGGAGCUACUCCACAGCCUUCAAAUAAAUGUUGGCUUGAUGGUAAUUCAGAAGGGUUGUCUAAGGCCACAGCGGGGAAAAACUAUUUCCCUUACAACAGACCCAGAUAUCUCUGCCACAACUCUGCUCAGUCAGGCUGUUAAAAAAAUGAAGGAAUAAAGAUGUAAAAGAUGAGCCUUUCCUUCUUCUGUAUCCAGAUGGGACAGAGGUCAUUAAUAUCCUUGGGACACAAAGACCUUUUACCCUUGCUGCUUAUAAGGCUGAAGUUGGCAAGUCAUAUCAAAGCAUUACUGUUUUCAUCUGCUUGAAAAGGGACUUUGAAGAAGCCAUGGGAACCUCUGGAUGAAAGCAGUCCUUUACAAAAAGUGACUAUUCCACAAACAUAGCCUAAAAAUGUUGGUGUAUCUUCUGUAACCAGACAGUGGAAAACACUCAUUUGCUUAUGGUAAGUAAUUUUUUGAGCAAACUCAAUAUGGCAUGAUAGUGUGCAAAACAAGAAAAUGUUAUAAAAUCAAUGCUGAUCAGCUUCCACUGUACAUCGCAUCUACCAAACACAGAUGUACCCACCUUCCUCUUCUGAAAAAAGACCACCAUGACUUGAUGGGUUGACUCCCUGUUGAUGAUCCGUAACUGUGGCUUGAUGAUCUAGCAUAAUAGUCCGUAUGCACAUGACGGAAGGUACACUGUAUUGCUGCCAUAGUCCCAUUCUCAGUCCCAAGGUCUGUUCGUAGUCUCAUUGGUAUCACUCCAAGACUCUUGACACAGUUUAUAAAAUUGAGAGCAAUGACAGAAGGAUUGUUGUUUGUAUUUCCACAAACAAGCCACAUCACAACCACAUUUUUGUUAUUUGUAAUUGUGCUUAGUUAAUGUUGUUGUGAUUUAGUUAAUGUUGUUGUGUUUUUGUUAAUGUU